UUAUAGUGUUCUUAGUCCAUCUAGAGUUAUUUUCCUGAUAGAUUUCUGUUACAUCCCUGGACUUGUCUGUGUUCCUGCUCAUCUGUGUUAAUUCACCUUGCUCCUUCAGUUGUUCUGCAAUCUCUCUGCCACAGCUGCUCAACAUUUGAUCUGAUUAGCUCUUUUGAUUCAUUGGUCAUUUAUCCACCCUGCCUCUGUAUUUAAACUCAAUAAUUUUUAUUGGUCACUGCUGGAUUCUACUGCUUGCCUCCUGAUUCUAUGCCCGGUUCAUGCCAGUGUUCUGCCUUUUUUUUAAUGGGUAUGAAAUGGAAGUAGGUUGGGACGAAAUGACAACACGUUGCUUUGAAAUGAGGGCACAGACUUGGCAAAGAUCAUCAAGUCCUUUCCUGGUCUAGUUCCAGGAAGUCUCACUUCCUUGUGCAAGACCAUUUUUCUUUUGUUUUCAGGGCUGACAUGGCUCCAUCUUCCCAUCAACUGUGUAUCCCUUUCUCUGUUGAAAAAAGCAUCCCCACAACAUGAUGC